AGUGAACGCUGGCGGUAGGCCUAACACAUGCAAGUCGAACGGCAGCACAGUAAGAGCUUGCUCUUACGGGUGGCGAGUGGCGGACGAGUGAGGAAUACAUCGGAAUCUACUUUUUCGUGGGGGAUAACGUAGGGAAACUUACGCUAAUACCGCAUACGACCUACGGGUGAAAGCAGGGGAUCUUCGGACCUUGCGCGAUUGAAUGAGCCGAUGUCGGAUUAGCUAGUUGGCGGGGUAAAGGCCCAUCAAGGCGACGAUCCGUAGCUGGUCUGAGAGGAUGAUCAGCCACACUGGAACUGAGACACGGUCCAGACUCCUACGGGAGGCAGCAGUGGGGAAUAUUGGACAAUGGGCGCAAGCCUGAUCCAGCCAUACCGCGUGGGUGAAGAAGGCCUUCGGGUUGUAAAGCCCUUUUGUUGGGAAAGAAAAGCAGCAGGUUAAUACCCCGCUGUUCUGACGGUACCCAAAGAAUAAGCACCGGCUAACUUCGUG
rnacentral:rRNA from 1 species